CCUCCACAAAGAAUGACAAGCUGAUUCAGUUUUAAUUGAGAAAAUUAGGCUAGCCACUUCGAUAAGUAUCUUCAAGUCAAGCCGGCCGCUUCCCUUUAGUGUCCACAUUUGCAACAAUUUUCUCCUUCUUGAUGAUCACGUUAACCAAAAUAUGAAGCUCCUCUUCGUCACUUAUCCUUACCCGAGAUUUGAACAUGCGGGACAUUUCUUCAUCAGUGUCAUUCAUCACGAGGUUAGGGAAUGUUGCGCUAUCACGACUACAUUGACCACUUGAGUUUUCUUUCACUACCCACACCCAAAAUCCACAAUUCCGGCUACAGCAAAGGAAUAGUUUCCCCUUAUUGUGAUUUUCCUUCUCCACCACAAAAUUUUUUUCAAAUCCAUACUUACAUCGCGGGUAAGGGCGUUUCUUUUUGCAUUCGGCAAACAAAUGAUCUUUAGCUUUACAACUA
rnacentral:lncRNA from 1 species